CCACGUUCCAGCAGGAAUUUUCCUCCAAAACGCUUUAAAAUCGGACACUGAGACAUCCUAGCUGCGGUGGGAGAGGAAUAACCACUCCCCAGGGAAAUCCCAGGUCCAGAGAACCGUCCACGUGGAGCACAGAGAAGGUCACAGAUGUACGGGAUUUUUGUGGUCACUCCUUGGGCAGCCAAGGCUGAGGAUUCAGAAACAGCUGCGGCCAGAUGUAUGUGUCGAGGAGCAGGGCCUGAUCACCGUCCCAAGCACUCAGU
rnacentral:lncRNA from 1 species